rnacentral:rRNA from 1 species
GACGAACGCUGGCGGCGUGCCUAAUACAUGCAAGUUGAGCGCUGAAGGUUGGUACUUGUACCAACUGGAUGAGCAGCGAACGGGUGAGUAACGCGUGGGGAAUCUGCCUUUGAGCGGGGGACAACAUUUGGAAACGAAUGCUAAUACCGCAUAAAAACUUUAAACACAAGUUUUAAGUUUGAAAGAUGCAAUUGCAUCACUCAAAGAUGAUCCCGCGUUGUAUUAGCUAGUUGGUGAGGUAAAGGCUCACCAAGGCGAUGAUACAUAGCCGACCUGAGAGGAUGAUCGGCCACAUUGGGACUGAGACACGGCCCAAAAGCCUUCGGGAGGCAGCAGUAGGGAAUCUUCGGCAAUGGACGAAAGUCUGACCGAGCAACGACGGGUGAGUGAAGAAGGUUUUCGGAUCGUAAAACUCUGUUGGUAGAGAAGAACGUUGGUGAGAGUGGAAAGCUCAUCAAGUGACGGUAACUACCCAGAAAGGGACGGCUAACUACGUG